rnacentral:rRNA from 1 species
AGUCGAGAAUCAUUCACAAUGGGGGCAACCCUGAUGGUGUGACGCCGCGUGGAGGAAGACGGUCUUCGGAUUGUAAACUCCUGUCAUCCGGGAGUAAGGCAUAUACGUUAAGAGCGUGUAUGUUUGAUAGUACCGGAAGAGGAAGGGACGGCUAACUUCGUGCCAGCAGCCGCGGUAAUACGAAGGUCCCAAGCGUUGUUCGGAAUCACUGGGCGUAAAGGGAGCGCAGGCGGUUCGGUAAGUCGGGUGUGAAAGGCAUGGGCUCAACCUGUGGACUGCACCUGAUACUGCCGUGACUAGAGUAAUGGAGAGGAAAGCGGAAUUCUCGGUGUAGCAGUGAAAUGCGUGGAUAUCGAGAGGAAGACCAAUGGCGAAGGCGGCUUUCUGGACAUUUACUGACGCUGAGGCUCGAAGGCUAGGGUAGCGAA